UACAGGGGGGGGCAAGCGUUUGUUCGGAAUUACUGGGCGUAAAGGGCUCGUAGGCGGCCAACUAAGUCACACGUGAAAUCCCCAGGCUCAACCUGGGAACUGCGUGUGAUACUGGAUGGCUUGAAUUCGGGAGAGGGAUGCAGAAUUCCAGGUGUAGCGGUGAAAUGCGUAGAUAUCUGGAGGAAUACCGGUGGCGAAGGCGGCAUCCUGGACCGACAUUGACGCUGAGGAGCGAAAGCUAGGGGAGCAAACGGG
rnacentral:rRNA from 1 species